UGAGGGGAUAUUGGGGCAAUGGGGGAAACCCUGACCCAGCGACGCCGCGUGAGGGAAGACGGUCUUCGGAUUGUAAACCUCUGUCUUUGGGGACGAAAAAAGGGACGGUACCCCAAAGGAGGAAAUCGUCCGGGCUAACUACGUGCCAGCAGCCGCGGUAAUACGUAGGGAGCGAGCGUUGUCCGGAAUUACUGGGUGUAAAGGGAGCGUAGGCGGGAAGGCAAGUUGGAUGUGAAAAACUGUGGGCUCAACCGACAGACUGCAUUCAAAACUGUUUUUCUUGAGUGAAGUAGAGGCAAGCGGAAUUCCUAGUGUAGCGGUGAAAUGCGUAGAUAUUAGGAGGAACACCAGUGGCGAAGGCGGCUUGCUGGGCUUUUACUGACGCUGAGGCUCGAAAGUGUGGGGAGCAAACAGGAUUAGAUACC
rnacentral:rRNA from 1 species